rnacentral:rRNA from 1 species
UGGGGAAUAUUGCACAAUGGGCGCAAGCCUGAUGCAGCGACGCCGCGUGAGGGAUGACGGCCUUCGGUUGUAAACCUCUUUCACUAGGACGAAGCGUAAGUGACGGUACCUAGAGAAGAAGCACCGGCCAACUACGUGCCAGCAGCCGCGGUAAUACGUAGGGUGCGAGCGUUGUCCGGAAUUACUGGGGCGUAAAGGAGCUCGUAGGUGGUUUGUCGCGUUGUCCGUGAAAACUCACAACUCAAUUGUGGGCGUGCGGGCGAUACGGGCAGACUGGAGUACUGCAGGGGAGACUGGAAUUCCUGGUGUAGCGGUGGAAUGCGCAGAUAUCAGGAGGAACACC